rnacentral:tRNA from 1 species
ACGUUCAUUGUCUAAUGGAUAGUAUAAAGGUCUUUUAAACCUUUGGUACAGGUUCAAAUCCUAUUGGACGCG